UAAUACGUAGGGUGCAAGCGUUGUCCGGAAUUAUUGGGCGUAAAGGGCUCGUAGGCGGUCCAUCGCGUCGGGAGUGAAAAGCUGGGGCUUAACCCCAGUCCUGCUUCCGAUACGGGUGGACUAGAGGUAGGCAGGGGAGAACGGAAUUCCUGGUGUAGCGGUGAAAUGCGCAGAUAUCAGGAGGAACACCGGUGGCGAAGGCGGUUCUCUGGGCCUUACCUGACGCUGAGGAGCGAAAGCAUGGGGAGCAAACAGGAUUAGAUACCCUGGUAGUCCAUGCCGUAAACGUUGGGCGCUAGGUGUGGGGGACAUUCCACGUCCUCCGUGCCGCAGCUAACGCAUUAAGCGCCCCGCCUGGGGAGUACGGCCGCAAGGCUA
rnacentral:rRNA from 1 species